UACGUAGGGGCCGAGCGUUGUCCGGAGUUAUUGGGCGUAAAGCGCGCGCAGGCGGCUUCGCGCGCCCGACGUGAAAGCCCCCGGCUUAACCGGGGAGAGUCGUUGGGGACGGCGGAGCUUGAGGGCGGGAGAGGUCGGUGGAAUUCCCGGUGCAGUGGUGAAAUGCGUAGAGAUCGGGAGGAACACCUGUGGCGAAGGCGGCCGACUGGGCCGACCCUGACGCUGAGGCGCGAAAGCCAGGGGAGCGAACGGG
rnacentral:rRNA from 1 species